rnacentral:rRNA from 1 species
CCUACGGGAGGCAGCAGUGGGGAAUUUUCCGCAAUGGGCGCAAGCCUGACGGAGCAACGCCGCGUGAGGGACGAAGGCCUCUGGGCUGUAAACCUCUUUUCUCAAGGAAGAAGACAUGACGGUACUUGAGGAAUAAGCCACGGCUAAUUCCGUGCCAGCAGCCGCGGUAAUACGGGAGUGGCAAGCGUUAUCCGGAAUUAUUGGGCGUAAAGCGUCCGCAGGCGGCCCAGCAAGUCUGUUGUUAAAAAGUGGAGCUCAACUCCAUCCAGGCAAUGGAAACUGCUGGGCUAGAGUGUGGUAGGGGCAGAGGGAAUUCCCGGUGUAGCGGUGAAAUGCGUAGAUAUCGGGAAGAACACCAGUGGCGAAGGCGCUCUGCUGGGCCAUAACUGACGCUCAUGGACGAAAGCCAGGGGAGCGAAAGGGAUUAGAUACCCCUGUAGUCCUGGCCGUAAACGAUGAACACUAGGUGUCGGGGGAAUCGACCCCCUCGGUGUCGUAGCCAACGCGUUAAGUGUUCCGCCUGGGGAGUACGCACGCAAGUGUGAAACUCAAAGGAAUUGACGG